CCACACGUACCCAUCCCGAACACGACCGUUAAGCCCUCUAGCGCCGAUGGUACUUGGACCGCAGGGUCCUGGGAGAGUAGGACGCCGCCAAGC
rnacentral:rRNA from 14 species